CCUGAGAAACCCUAAAGAUCGGAUGGGGAGUUUUAUCGUCAGCGGGGCUGGCUUCCGUGCAUGCGCGGCGUCGUCGGCGUGCACUUCUCCCAUAGUAGGACGUCGUGAACCGUUGGGUGUCGGAUCGAUGGCCGGUCGUCGUCUGUCGUGCUCUCGCGCUUCAGACCGUCCGGUUGAACGUCCGACUGUCUGGCGGUAUCGAUCGUUCAAAACUGGUACUGGGCUGCAAUCAGUGCGUUCCUGGCACGUCGGCAGGCUCGCCUCGCUCGGAUUUACAGACCUAGAGCCGUUGCCGGGCGCUUUGCCCGGCCGUUAGUCGGCGAUGUCCUCGGACUGGCUCUUACCGGUCGG
rnacentral:rRNA from 1 species